rnacentral:rRNA from 1 species
GACGAACGCUGGCGGCGUGCUUAACACAUGCAAGUCGAACGGAAAGGCCCUGCUUUUGUGGGGUGCUCGAGUGGCGAAAGGGUGAGUAACACGUGAGUAACCUGCCCUUGACUUUGGGAUAACUUCAGGAAACUGGGGCUAAUACCGGAUAGGAGCUCCUGCUGCAUGGUGGGGGUUGGAAAGUUUCGGCGGUUGGGGAUGGACUCGCGGCUUAUCAGCUUGUUGGUGGGGUAGUGGCUUACCAAGGCUUUGACGGGUAGCCGGCCUGAGAGGGUGACCGGCCACAUUGGGACUGAGAUACGGCCCAGACUCCUACGGGAGGCAGCAGUGGGGAAUAUUGCACAAUGGGCGGAAGCCUGAUGCAGCAACGCCGCGGGCGGGAUGACGGCCUUCGGGUUGUAAACCGCUUUCGCCUGUGACGAAGCGUGAGUGACGGUAAUGGGUAAAGAAGCACCGGCUAACUACGUG